GGGUCCAGACUCCUACGGGAGGCAGCAGUGGGGAAUUUUGGACAAUGGGCGCAAGCCUGAUCCAGCAAUGCCGCGUGAGUGAAGAAGGCCUUCGGGUUGUAAAGCUCUUUUGUCAGGGAAGAAACGGUGAGGGCUAAUAUCCCUUGCUAAUGACGGUACCUGAAGAAUAAGCACCGGCUAACUACGUGCCAGCAGCCGCGGUAAUACGUAGGGUGCAAGCGUUAAUCGGAAUUACUGGGCGUAAAGCGUGCGCAGGCGGUUUUGUAAGUCUGUCGUGAAAUCCCCGGGCUCAACCUGGGAAUUGCGAUGGAGACUGCAAGGCUAGAAUCUGGCAGAGGGGGGUAGAAUUCCACGUGUAGCAGUGAAAUGCGUAGAGAUGUGGAGGAACACCGAUGGCGAAGGCAGCCCCCUGGGUCAAGAUUGACGCUCAUGCACGAAAGCGUGGGGAGCAAACAGGAUUAGAUACCCUGGUAGUCCACGCCCUAAACGAUGUCUACUAGUUGUCGGGUUUUAAUUAACUUGGUAACGCAGCUAACGCGUGAAGUAGACCGCCUGGGGAGUACGGUCGCAAGAUUAAAACUCAAAGGAAUUGACGGAAGG
rnacentral:rRNA from 1 species